GACGAACGCUGGCGGCGUGCUUAACACAUGCAAGUCGAACGGUGAAGGGACCAGCUUGCUGGUUCUGGAUGAGUGGCGAACGGGUGAGUAACACGUGAGUAACCUGCCCCCUUCUUCUGGAUAACCGCAUGAAAGUGUGGCUAAUACGGGAUAUUCUGGGUCUGUCGCAUGGCGGGCCCGGGAAAGAUAUUGCUUCGGUGGGGGAUGGGCUCGCGGCCUAUCAGCUUGUUGGUGGGGUGAUGGCCUACCAAGGCGGUGACGGGUAGCCGGCCUGAGAGGGUGGACGGUCACACUGGGACUGAGACACGGCCCAGACUCCUACGGGAGGCAGCAGUGGGGAAUAUUGCACAAUGGGCGCAAGCCUGAUGCAGCGACGCCGCGUGAGGGAUGGAGGCCUUCGGGUUGUAAACCUCUUUCGCCAGUGAAGCAGGCCUGCUCCUUGUGGGUGGGUUGACGGUAGCAGGAUAAGAAGCGCCGGCUAACUACGUG
rnacentral:rRNA from 1 species